GGAGUAGGCAGUCAGCCUAAACACUUCUGCUAUGGGAUCAAUGAGGAUUCGGGGGCAAAAAACAAACUUCAGUACUUUAGCAAGUGCUGCACCAAGGACAGCCUCGUCAGAUGCAGCAAGAGAAGAUGCAUCCUCAGGAAAUCACAAACCUCUCAGGACGUGUUAUUUUCCAUCAGCAGUAAGCAGCACUGAUGUGUGCAGUUCUGGGAGGACAGAGCUGAAACAAGACAAGAAGAAAAGCUGCAGAAGUAAAAUUGCCUCUAAAGCUCCUUUAAAAUGCACAGGACAGGAGGGAACAAGUGGACAUUGA
rnacentral:lncRNA from 1 species